AAUAAAACGAUGACUAGAAUUAGUACUUAUAACCUUGUUUAUAUAGAGAGUUUAGAAUGGUGGAAUCUAAGCAAAACAAAUUUAAGGAAUGGAUCUACGAGCGAUACUAAUCAUAUCCGUAACUCUGCGUUAAAGAGCUAAGUGUCUAUAAUUUUUUAUAGAAACCAAGGUGGUACCACGGAUUAUAUAAGUUCGUCCUUAUU
rnacentral:ncRNA from 1 species